GAUGAACGCUAGCUACAGGCUUAACACAUGCAAGUCGAGGGGAAACGACAUCGAAAGCUUGCUUUUGAUGGGCGUCGACCGGCGCACGGGUGAGUAACGCGUAUCCAACCUGCCCACCACUUGGGGAUAACCUUGCGAAAGUAAGACUAAUACCCAAUGAUAUCUCUAGAAGACAUCUGAAAGAGAUUAAAGAUUUAUCGGUGAUGGAUGGGGAUGCGUCUGAUUAGCUUGUUGGCGGGGUAACGGCCCACCAAGGCAACGAUCAGUAGGGGUUCUGAGAGGAAGGUCCCCCACAUUGGAACUGAGACACGGUCCAAACUCCUACGGGAGGCAGCAGUGAGGAAUAUUGGUCAAUGGACGAGAGUCUGAACCAGCCAAGUAGCGUGCAGGAAGACGGCCCUAUGGGUUGUAAACUGCUUUUAUAAUGGAAUAAAGUGAGUCUCGUGAGACUUUUUGCAUGUACCUUAUGAAUAAGGACCGGCUAAUUCCGUG
rnacentral:rRNA from 1 species